ACUCUAUCUAGCUAAUCUGGUGGUGAGGUGGAGAACCUUUGUGUCUAGCUAAGGGAUCAUAAACGCACCAAUGGGCGCCCUGUCAAUGAGACCACUCGGCUCUACCAGUCAGCAGGACGUGGGUGGGGCCAGAUAAGAAUAAAAGCAGGCUGCCAGAGCCGGCAGUGGCAACCAGCCCGGGUCCCUUUCCACACUGUGGAAUCUUUGUUCUUUCACUCUUUGCAGUAUAUCUUGCUACUGCUCACUCUUUGGGUCCACACUGCUUUUAUGAGCUGUAACACUCACCGCGAAGGUCUGCAGCUUCACUCCUGAGCUAGCGAGACCACGAACCCACCGGGAGGAACGAACAACUCCAGACGCGCUGCGUUAAGAGCUGUAACACUCACCGCGAAGGUCUGCAGCUUCACUCCUGAGCCAGCGAGACCACGAACCCACCAGAAGGAAGAAACUCGUAAACCCAUCCGAACAUCAGAAGGAACAAACUCCAGAUGCGCUACCUUGAGAGCUGUAACACUUACCGCCAGGGUCCGCGGCUUCAUUCUUGAAGUCAGUGAGACCAAGAACCCACCAAUUCCGGACACACUGGGAGUGUAGUCUCUAUGUCUCAAGAAUUUAGCAAGAUAUUGAUAAAAUUUGGAGGAGGAAGACAUCACAGGGAUAGCGGAAAGGUUUUCAGGAUAAGACCACGGUGUGGAGCGUCAAGGUGUUUUGCCUGGCGCUCUGUAACUGCAUGCUACUUCUCUUUUGUGUGGAGCCACCAUUGCUUCCCUCUGACGUGAUCUGUGUUCAAUCCAGAAAACUACUGUCUUCUGUCAAGAUCAUAAACUGGCCGGGCGCGGUGGCUCACGCCUGUAAUCCCAGCACUUUCGGAGGCCGAGGCGGGCGGAUCACAAGGUCAGGAGAUUGAGACCAUCUUGGCUAAAACGGUGAAACCCAGUCUCUACUAAAAAUACAAAAAAUUAGCCGGGCACGGUGGCAGGAGCCUGCAGUUCCAACUACUCAGGAGGCUGAGGCAGGAGAAUGGCGUGAACCCGGGAGGCGGAGCUUGCAGUGAGCCGAGAUAGCGCCACUGCAGUCCGCCUGGGAGAAAGAGCGAGACUCCGUCUCAAAAAAAAAAAAAAAAAAAAAAGAUCAUAAACUCAGCUGAUCUGUUUGUCUAGCUCCUCUGUUACCUCUCUUUUGCCAUGAAUAUUUUAUUUACAAGAUUCCAUCAGCAGAAUGGAUGCUUUGUUUUCUUUUAUAGGCUAGAUCAAGCUCACAUAGAUAUCUUACAUUCUGGGAGGUGAGUUUCAAUGCUGCUCAAUUUGCAUUAUAUUAUUACGGUUCUAAUCCAUAAAAAUAGGUUUAAAAAAAGGAAAUUGUAUACAAAGGAUGUUUGAAAUUGUAUGUGUUCUCAAACACAUGUAUUCAUCUCCAUUCAAAACAACUAGUUAGGAACUAAAGGCAGGUAAGUGAGAUAUGCCUUACUCUUUUGUCCCUGUCGUCACACAAAGCCAUCCUGUCCCCAAUAGCCUCUCUGAGUGAGAAUUACUUCUCUCACAUUGAUUAAGUAAGGUUUAGACCCAUGAGGCUUUCCCGGUAAAGACCCAGAAUAAUGAAGGCAGAAUAUACAGAAUUGUAUUUAAUGCUCUAUCACAUAUGAGACAUUUGAGUAUUUGGAAAUAUUAGCUGGACCUUAUGAAACUGCUGCUUUUGUAGGUCAAAAUUGCCCAAAUACCAGUAAUUUCAUGCAGUUUAAAUUAAUAAAUCAAAAAUGAAAUCACUCUUUAGAGUAGGUCUACAUGGAAAAACUUGAGGGUUGACGAAUUGUUUUUAUUUAGAAUCCUAAUACAGCAAGAAACUUUAAACUUACACACACACGUAUACACACAAAUACAUACAUGUAUAUAUAAUUUUUGCUUUAAUAUACGUUCAAUUCUACUUUUACUUUUGAAGACACCUUUAAUUUAUAGAUGUUUCUUUCAUAUAAAAAAGUUUAGAGUGCUAUGAUUUUACCAAAUCAAAGAUUCUAUUGCUUGUAAAAAGGUACUUUAAUUUCUG
rnacentral:lncRNA from 1 species